GAGAAAGAAAAAACUUCAAUUAAUUGAAUUCUUCUGUUUAAUUUUCGCGAUCAUACUUGCCACAAUGAAACGUAAUAGCCGAGUUUAACGCUAGUACUACCGACGUUUGAUGCACACUUAUUUUUAAGUUGAAAAUAAUGUAGCAAAUUAAAUAGAUAAAUGAUACAUUUCAACAAAAAUACCUGGAUAAAAUUUAUAAUUUAAAAUAAAAAACUCAAAACCGGUCAUUCCGACUGGUUUGGUAUUUCUAGUGUUAACAAAGCAAAUAUUUCCAAUGCCGAUAUUAUGUUCUUUCCAAUUUGUUUUAAUAGACGCGAUUAAAUUCUCAUUACAGAGAGAUAACCGAGCACGAAUGUUACUGAUUUUAACGAACAAUCGUGCGUAACUGGUGGAUUACGUAAAAAGAACGAAUAGCGUGUAAUGAUACAUUUUCCAGAUAAAACACACGUCAAGGAGUUUCAAUUUCCGUAUGAAUAGUUGGUAGAUACAGAAAAAUUCAUUGCUUCAGGUAUCUCCACGUGUAUUUCUGCGCUUCCAAUUAACCCACAAGGUAUAAUCAAAAUUCUAUUAAAAUAAUCAACGUAAUUGUUUUCGAAUCUUUAUCCGAAAGAAUAAAUUAUCACGAGAAUUCGAAUAAAAUUCGCUUCGGCUUUACUUUUGAGGGUCACACAGGGUCUCGCAUUAAAGUUCAUUAUCAAAAUGGUAAGCCUUGAUGAAACGUUUGAAUUAAAAGGAAUUAUUGCUAUUGAUAUAAACGAUUAUCAAUGAUAAUCAAUGAUGUCCACGAAUCUCCUGCAAAAAAAAACAUUCCUCUCGAACAUGAAUUUAUUUUCGGUGAUCCUAUCCGCGGUUAUAUUAUACACCGAUACGCUUGAUUCAAUGAUAAAUGUACCAAAAUUAGUAAUCCACAGUCGACGAUGCGUUAAGAAGUUAUUUCAAAAACGUGCGCGAUUAAAGUACGAUUAUAUCACUCGAUGAUCUCUUUUACUUUUUAUACGAACACCGUAUCAUUAAUCCAUUAACACGUUCGCUAUCAUCGUUUAGCUGGAAAUUCGACCAUCGAAGGAAUCCUAAGAAAUCGCUUAACCUUUAGAGAAUGAGUAUCAUUAAUUAAUAUUCGAUUUGAUCAUAAAAAAAACUUGAAGCGCCGACCACGGGUGACCCUCGCCGCAGUAAACGCGUUAAUGGGUUAACCCUCGGGAAACGGACGUUCUAUGUUAUAGUCAUUUUGACCCCUAAAUAAAAUUGUAUGUGACAUUUGAAGGUUAAAUUAUGUAGAAAAUUUCAAACAUACUUUUACGUGUAGAUAUUAGAUCUUUUAUAAGCUUCGAUGAGUCAAAAUGACCAUGGAAUCGUCAUGCAAGGGUUAAACUCAUAGAUUGUUCUUUAUUUCGUCGUUGCCCAUUUUCUCGAAGUCGAGCAAUCAUUGUCUUCGUGGAUGCAAAAAGCUCUCAAGAUAGCAGUAAAUGCAGACUGGGAAAGCCGGGGGCAAACAUCGAUUCACGACCGCAUUUUGCGACCUGCACCAGAAAAUUAGGUCGAGGCAAAAUCUCGAUGGAAGGGUAAAGCGGGACACUAACUGAGAAUUUGUGGAUUUCCUUGCUCAUUGUCGAUCAACGAACUGCAAAAAUUGACUAAAGCACAUAUCGGCUAACCUUAUCGCUUGUGUUCAUGUUACAGACAAGUAUUCCAUUUUUUUCAAAUGGAAUUUCUUUGAUUGAUCGUUCAUUGUAGCGAUACACUAUCUUAACUACGGGGUCAUGGAAUUUUUUAUCUUUCAUUUGUAACAGUAACUUGGCGAUCACGAGAAAAACUAUAUAUUUUCUUACAUAAUUUAUACUGCAAAUAAUAUUAAAUAGACUCAAAUAUUUAAUAAAAAGUAUUAUGUACUCGAGAGUAAAACUCGGUGUUGGAAUACUCUCACACCAAGAGGUGAUCAUCUUCAGCAUACAAUACGCUGUUAGACAUAAAUUGUCAGUGACCUUGACCUUUCUAUUAAAUUUGUCAUUCAUCGUGGUGCAUAUUUCAUACCCGCUGUACGAGUUGCUCAAUUACUCGUGAUUCGCUUUUCGUCAGCCGAAUCACCACCCAAAAGUCGGGUCUUUUACAUAACAGCGUGAUACAGAAUUCCCGAACACUCGAUUACCAGCUGAUAACGAAAUAUACGAAUCUGUCCCAUAUCGUUCGAUGAAUUCAUUUGAAAAUAUCUGUGCAGUAGGUAUACAAUACCAUGUGACGAUUUUUAUCGGAGGAAUACCUUAUGUUGCUUUUACACUUUAGCAUUAUAUUGCAGAUUCUUUUUUUGUGAAUAUUAUUAAUGUAAGAGAUCGUUCAGAAUACUACUACAUAGGAAACGUUAUAGCUGGGAGGUAGCCAGGGCUUCGAGUAGCCGCUUACUAAAAAUAAACAGUUUCACGUGUUGUAUAAUUCAACCCAUACUACAUAAUGAACACGUGAGAAGAAAAUUGGAAGCAAGAAUGUGUCCUUUGCAACACGCUAGUGUGCACAAUGUAUCGGAAAAAGAUUGAGAAUGUGCUGUUCAGAUGGAUCAAGUUCAAAUUGUCUCGAAAUAUUAGCUGGAUGUUACAAAAUAAAAUAUACGGUCGUAGGUAUUAUUAUUGUGAACAUAUAGAGUAUUCUAUGCAACUGGGACAAGCUACAGCAUUAAAGCGGUGAAAGAUAGAAAAAUGAUCAGCAGGAAAAAUUAAAUGGGGUCGAAUGGAGGUACCACGUGGUGUGUAUCGGCACUGGAAAUGAAAUUUUAUACUUUGUUAUAUAUCAAUCGAAGCAUAUUUUUAUUUUCUAUAAAUCUUUGAAAUAGAAUAGAAAAGGAAAUUUGAAGAGCCAACCCUCUAAUCAACUUCAAGUAUUAUAAUAACUAAUACUAGACAAUGAUUCAUGAUACCCCAAAAAAAAAAAAAAUUGCGGAUAUUGUGGUAGGACACAUUUAUGCAAAGAAUGUACCAUUCGAAGUGUAGACAGCAGUAUACUUAGCAUGUAACACAAGAAGGAUAUCAACUUGAAGCCGCAACGAUGUAACGAAAUACUAAUUGAACAGAUUGAUGGUGACUUUUAUAUCCGUUCAGCAUAUUGUGUACAAAUCAGAAGAAUUUUAGUGAAUGCAUCUCAUGUUGCAAGAAUAAAACGGAGAUGUUGAGAGAGGUGCAACACAGGCUCAGAAAGGAGAACAUACUUUCAUAAAAGGUCGACUUUCACCAGGAAAGAAAAACUGCAUCACAGUAUUUCUCGUUCGUUUGCAAUGUGCAUUAAUGCGAGUAGCUGAGACACUUACACAAAUGACUUUUACCGAAUAAAUUAUAUAGUAUUUAAUAAUUCAAAUUUGAUGCAGAAGGAAAUUUUGAUAUCUUAUGCAGCAUAGUUCGAUACUCUUGACUCUCAUGACUGGAAUGUAAAUCUUCAUGCAUUUACAAUAGGUUAAAGUAUGCAAAAUAUAUGCAACACGUGUGCAUACGCAUAAGGAAAUAUAAUAUGGUUAGUUUAGUUCCAUGAACAUUUCACUCGCGACUCCUGCAAUUUUAUGUUUUUAUCUAUAAAAAAAAUUAAUGCUAAGAAUAAAUUAGAAAACUAUUAACAUUUACCUUGCAAAACGUCUAAUCGUGAAACUGUUAUUAAUAUUUAAAGAAGUUAUGAAACACAAAAUAGAAGAAAGUGAGUGUAAAGUUAUGUAUCAAAGUAAUUAUUAGCUGUGAAAGUAAUAAUGCUACUAAUAGCAGUAGAAAAGAUAAAAGUAGCUGAUAACAUUCGCUAUUAUGUUAAAAGUGUGUUUAGACUUUGAACUUACAAUGUCGAUGGACAUUUUUAAAUAUCUUUUGUAUUUUUUACUAUUUCAAUUUGCAGCAAAAUAUAAAUUUAAUAUACGCUAAUUUCCAGGGAUUCACCAUGAUCUUUUUUUCUUUCAAUUAUUCGUUACGUUCACGAGUAGUUUGAAUUCCUUUGACUAUUGAUAAAUGAAUGCGGGUGAAAUGACAUAGUUUACGUAAAAAAGAAAGAAGAACGGUAGGAAAACGUCAAUUCGUAAAUAGUAGUAAACUCUAUAGUUUUUAUCAAGCUGAAGGCAUUUUAUGAUGGGCGAUAAUUAGUCGACUACGAGCAAAGUUCAAUACGCGAUCCCGCUUCGGUACGCGAUUUCUGGUAUCGCAUAAUUAAUGAAUAGUACUACACUGUAUUAAUUAAUUCGUGCGAGUUCGUCAAUCAAUUGCUGCGUAAAAGUGAAAUAUUUCAAGCAAUCUUAAGCUGGAAAAAGUAAGAAGCCUUGUAUGGUAAAUUAUUUCUAUUUUUCAUAAAUAAUUUACAGAGUUUGAUAAACGCGAUAACAUUAAAACUUGUUGCAAAGGUAGAUAUCUAAUCAAAUAUUUGAUCAGAUUGUCAUACAAGGUAGUUACCGAGCACGUACAGAAACAUAAAAACUUAUAUUUAUUGCAGUAACAUGAAUGAUAAAACUACAGAAUCGAAUUAACUGACUUAUCAAUGAUAUUUUUACAACAAUUUAUCAGAUGAUCCUCCAUGUAUUUAAAAAUUAGUUUCACUUCAAUCGCAGAUUGUAAGUUAACCAGUUACUUAACCAUCAACGUGAUGUGUGAAUUUCAAAUGGAAACUGCGAAAUGUAUGUACAUACAUAAAUCACACAUGGAACUGUAUAAAAACCGUGUUUAUGUAACAAUCUCGGAGUACGACUAUACACGUUGUCAAAACCACUGAUUCAAGGACAAACAGAUUGAGCCUUAACAGUGAAUUGUUGAUUACGCGAUACGAUCAGAAUUGUUUGACAAUUCCGCAUUACGAAUGUAGAUAAAAUGUCGUAUUGAUUAGCUAUACGAAGCUCGCUUUACCCUAGCCGCUAGGUAAAGCUUAAAUAACGCAUAACUCGAUCGAACGUAUCGAAUCCUUUAACAUCAUUGAACUCAAUAAGAAGCACGCGAUACUUUGCCUCUGGUAAUUCGAUUCAUGGCAUUUAAUGACUUUCUCGCGGCUCGAGUACUGAUAAAUUCGUUGUGACAAGAAUCGACACGACGACGUAUGUAGGUAGUUAGCAACGAAAAGCAAAUAUGACGUUGAUUUAUACGUUCGUCUCGUUGGAUUUACUGUGGAGAUGGUACCAGUGACGCGAAUGCAAUUAAAUUUACCGUCACGGAUUACGUGGCAGAGCUCGUCCCACAUUGUCAUUAUCAUUAGCAUUUACGCAGGUGAUACAAAAUAUCAGAUAUCGUCCCGACAAUCAAAUUAUCAUUUUAUCCCGUUGUACAUGUCACCUGUGCUUAAUUCGUCGGAUAUAAAUUGUCAUUCCAAGUGUUAUCACGUGCGUGAAAGGAAUAAUAAAAUUAAAGGAUUAAUGAAGUUUUUAAUCAGUGUGCUAGCUCUGACGUAAUAAACAGAUUAUCUUCUUA